rnacentral:rRNA from 1 species
GGACGGGUGAGUAACACGUGGAUAACCUACCUAUAAGACUGGGAUAACUUCGGGAAACCGGAGCUAAUACCGGAUAAUAUAUUGAACCGCAUGGUUCAAUAGUGAAAGACGGUUUUGCUGUCACUUAUAGAUGGAUCCGCGCCGCAUUAGCUAGUUGGUAAGGUGACGGCUUACCAAGGCGACGAUGCGUAGCCGACCUGAGAGGGUGGUCGGCCACACUGGAACUGAGACACGGUCCAG